AUGACGGCAACACUGGCGACGGGCUGGUGCUGGACGAAGACAAAGGGGGUGGACGGGCGGCUGCGACGGCUACGGGGGGCUGCACUGGGUGCCCUCCGUGGGCGAGCUCGCGGCGAUCAUUGGCGUCGUUGGCGACAAGACGAGUUGAGCACGUCGCCGGCGAGUUGGUUGGCCCGCACACAUCAAGGCUAUACACCACACAGGAUGCAGAUACGCGAAGCAGCAGCAGGACGCGUCAGGCCAGAGGCACGGACGCAACACAGAGAGGAGGAAGAGACAGCUGCCGCACAGUAUUUCGCGAAGGCGUGCUCUGCGGGAGCUCUGGAGUCUGGACUCCAGUGUGUGCUCCUGCUUGGACGCAAGCGGUGA
rnacentral:rRNA from 1 species